GCUGCGGAAGGAUCAUUACUGAUUUGCUUAAUUGCACCACAUGUGUUUUUUAUUGAACAAAUUUCUUUGGUGGCGGGAGCAAUCCUACCGCCAGAGGUUAUAACUAAACCAAACUUUUUAUUUACAGUCAAACUUGAUUUAUUAUUACAAUAGUCAAAACUUUCAACAACGGAUCUCUUGGUUCUCGCAUCGAUGAAGAACGCAGCGAAAUGCGAUACGUAAUAUGAAUUGCAGAUAUUCGUGAAUCAUCGAAUCUUUGAACGCACAUUGCGCCCUUUGGUAUUCCAAAGGGCAUGCCUGUUUGAGCGUCAUUUCUCCCUCAAACCCCCGGGUUUGGUGUUGAGCAAUACGCUAGGUUUGUUUGAAAGAAUUUAACGUGGAAACUUAUUUUAAGCGACUUAGGUUUAUCCAAAACGCUUAUUUUGCUAGUGGCCACCACAAUUUAUUUCAUAACUUUGACCUCAAAUCAGGUAGGACUACCCGCUGAACUUAAGCAUAUCAUAAGCCGGGAAGAAAAAAGAUCAUUACGGAUUUGCUUAAUUGCACAAAGUGUUUUUUUAUUGAACAAAUUUCUUUGGUGGCGGGAGCAAUCUACGCCAGAGGUUAUUACUAAACCAAACUUUUUAUUUACGGUCAAACUUGAUUUAUUAUUACAAUAGUCAAAACUUUCACAACGG
rnacentral:rRNA from 1 species